AUGGAUAGCAAUAGGGGCCCCGGCCCAGAUAGCAUCCCAGCUGAAUUCUACAAGCACUGCUGGGACUUUGUUAAAACAGAUAUUAUGCGUUUGUUUCACGCCUUUCACAACAACACCCUGGAUGUGGAGCGCAUGAAUUAUGGGGUGAUCACCCUGAUACCUAAGACCAAUGGUGCUAAGAAAAUACAGCAGUACCGUCCCAUCUGCUUACUUAGAUGUCCAUACAAGUUGAUCACUAAAGUGAUGGAUAAUAAAGCAGCCAUCUUUGCUGAUAAGCUUAUUAGCAGACACCAAAAUGCUUUCAUUAAGCAUAGAAAUAUGAUGGAUGGGAUCCUCACUCUCCAUGAGAUCUUACAUCACACACCAUAA
rnacentral:rRNA from 1 species